rnacentral:lncRNA from 1 species
AUAAUAGUGAUUGAUGACCGUUAACGUCCAGUGAAACAUUACAUAAUCGGGACGGAAACUGAACCCUGCGUUGUACUACAACAACACACUCAGUCGGAUUGUAAUAUGUUAGUUCAUAAAGACAAGAGGGCGAAAGAUACCAGAGGGACAGUCAAACUCAUAGAUCAAAAAUAAACUGACAACGCCAUGGCUAAAAAUAAAAAGACAAACAGACAAAUAAUAAUACACAAGACACAAGAAAGAAAAACGAAAAUAAGCAACACCAACCCCAC